rnacentral:lncRNA from 1 species
AUGUCUUCCUUUUCCAAGGAAGUGGAAAAGUGUGGUCAGCUCACCACAUCUGCUGGGCAAUCCAGGCAUGAAGAAACAGUUCCAUGCCAAGAUAUUCUUUCUAGAAAACAGUUCAUUCCUCUAAAAAUGGACAGAGCAAUAAGACUGAACAGUGAAGAAGGAAAUUGCCAGGGAGGUGAAUUCCAAGAGUGUGAGGGUGGAAUAACACCUCUCAAAACAUGUUUGUUGCCCUGUGAAGAAUGUCAGAAACACCACACCAUCUGGGCAACUGCUAUUUCUGAAGAGUCUCUGUACCAAGUUAAAGAUGAUUGGACAAAUUGACCCAAAAAGGGGGAG